rnacentral:rRNA from 1 species
UACGUAGGGUGCAAGCGUUAAUCGGAAUUACUGGGCGUAAAGCGUGCGUAGGCGGUUCGUUAAGUCUGCUGUGAAAGCCCCCGGGCUCAACCUGGGAAUGGCAGUGGAUACUGGCGAGCUAGAGUGUGAUAGAGGAUGGUGGAAUUCCCGGUGUAGCGGUGAAAUGCGUAGAGAUCGGGAGGAACAUCAGUGGCGAAGGCGGCCAUCUGGAUCAACACUGACGCUGAGGCACGAAAGCGUGGGGAGCAAACAGG